CCAACAUGGAUACCCUGGGAGGUCACUCUCCCCAGGCUCUGUUCAAGUGGUGCAAGGGAGCAUAGGGCUCUGCCCUGUGAUGUGCAGUCUCUUUCCACAAUGUUGGAGAUGAAGCUGGGCCUCGUGUCUGCACCUGCAUAUUCCUACAGCUUCCCAGAGUCCUGUGGACAAUGACUGGGGAGGGAAACCAUGCAGGAGACAUGC
ensembl:snoRNA SNORA73 Small nucleolar RNA SNORA73 family